AAAGCCGGUCCCAGUUCGGAUUGUAGGCUGAAACUCGCCUACAUGAAGUCGGAGUUGCUAGUAAUCGCGAAUCAGCAUGUCGCGGUGAAUACGUUCCCGGGUCUUGUACACACCGCCCGUCACACCAUGAGAGCCGGUAACACCCGAAGUCCGUGAGGUAACCUUUAUGGAGCCAGCGGCCGAAGGUGGGAUUGGGGAUUGGGGUGAAGUCGUAACAAGGUAGCCGUAGGAGAACCUGCGGCUGGAUCACCUCCUUU
rnacentral:ncRNA from 1 species